UAGCUAUUUCUGUGCUGAUGUCACUUGUCAUUUGCUUUCUAGCCAUCACUGCGCCCCCUCAAAACAUGUCUGUGUACGUGAACGAGUCAGGAGUCACCGUGUAUUGGCAGCCCCCUCCUGCUCGCUGGCAGAGUGGACCCAUUCAGGGGUAUAAGGUGAAUUGUUCCUGCAUUGGCAUCGAACAGCCAAUGAGGAGAGUAGCCAAGACUUCCAUUGUGCUGGAAGGACUGCCUCCAGGGACCUCAUGCAGAGUGUGUGUAGCAGCUGUAAGCUCUGCCAGUGUUGGGGCCCAAAGUGAACUCCAACAUUUUGUAACUCCAACCAAAGGUUUGUAGUUUUUGGUGUUGGCAUUUUAACAGUUCCUGGUUCCAAAAAAAAAAAUUCCUAUGGAAAAAUGAGUUUUCACAAAAUCUGCGAAAGUAAGGUGUGAACAAAACACCAGUAUAAAACCUAGUCAAACCAUUUGGUGAGUUAAGCAGUAGGUCUUUGGUAACCGUUGACUUGUAAAAAUAAAUAUGUUGCUACCAAUAUCCCAAAGCAGAAAAAAACAGACUACAUCAUGUUGCUUGCCUUAUGGCUAUCAUAGUAUCCACUCUUCACUCACAUCCCUCAGUUUCUUAUGAAACUUAAUAUUACAGCACCAAAAAGCAUCUUAUUUAUACCAUGCAAUAGAUUGUGGCUAACAAAUCCUUAGGUGUUUAAAUACUGAAGUUAGCUGCGUGGCUGUUGUGAGAACAAAUUAUGAAUUUGCUGACGCAUUAGGGCUUACUUUGUAGUCCAUUAUUUUUUUUAAGGAAUGGCAACACAUAUUUAGAGAUAUAAGUGUUUAACAUUUAUACAGAGAUGGCAUACAAAUGCAUUUUAUUGAACAGAAUCAAAUCCCUCAAGCAGUUAUUUAACUACUACGGUUGUUAUUUGGACUGUUUUCCAAAACCCCAUUUGAUCUUUCAUAGGGAUUUAUUUUGUUUAAAAACGGAACUGGCAAACAUACUAGUUAAUCCGGCGCAUACAAAAUAACUCCCACACUCUAUAGCUGUAAUAUUUCAGUCCAAUUACAACAUGCUAGUGAGGUGGAACACAUAAUAUGCCAUUCAGUGGGCUGCAACAAUACCGUCUCAUUUUAAAGGCUUUGUAGGAAUUUUGAAGUUAUGUCUCGUAUGGAGUUAUUUUGCAAUAUUUUAGAAUAUUCCACAAGUUUAUGCACAUUCCAUAGUAACAGUUGGUAAUUUAUUUCUGUUACUAUAUGCUAGCAAGGUGAUAACUGAGUUAUGACGAUGCAGAUAGAUAUGCAGGAUGGUUUAACUAUAAUUGAUGAUUUAUUUUGAGUAAUUGUAUCUAUUUUUUAUCACUGGUUUAAUUAAACUAUUGUUUUGCAGAAGAACGGCAUGGAGUCCCCAUGUCUGGAGGCCCCCCAUUGUUUGGAUUCUGGUCAGUGUGGUGGCUGUGGCUGUGGCUGUGGUUUGUCUGAUCUGGUACUGCAUCAGGCGUAACAGAAGAAAUUUGGGAAAUGGAACUCCAGGAAUAGAACUGUCAGAUAGGAUGGAGAGCGAAGGCCUAACAGGCGACCAAACCUAGUCCAUACUCCCCACAGGGACAGGUAUGGGGCCAGAGAUGAGAUGUGAUUUGAUUCAUUCAACACCAACAAAGUGAACUAGUUUUCUGAACUCUGGUGCUGAACAAGGAACUAUACUAGACCGCUUGAAAAUGGGGUUCUGGAGUUCACUUGAACCCCUGUGCUGCUGGUAUUUGGUAUGAAAGCUUUCUGAUCUAACAUGAGGAUGUUGUAGGUACACUGGCAACCAGCCUCACAUGGGCACAUGAAUAAUGUAGGUACCUUACCUUGUGAGUAGGCGCCAGAUAAAUGUGAGUGCAAUUGUGCAUAAAUAGUAAUACGGUCUUCAUAAGGGCCACCAAGACAACAUUGGUACCCCCAGGUAUCAACUUUAAUAACACUGUUUAUGUAAAUGAAUCUGAAUCUGGCAAUGUUUUCUACAGAGCAGCAUAUAACACCACUACCUCAGAAAAUUCCAGACCCCAUGCUGCCCCUUUAAACAUACUGGUAAUCUUAUUUAAUAGUAAUUAAAUAGUCGGUGGCAUGGUCAAACACAUAGUAGAAAUCACAGAGCAUCUGGUACCUGUCUCAGUAAUCUUACACCUAUCAAUAUUCAGCCACAGCCAGUAUCCUCUCCUGUCACAGAAUCCCUACAGCUGAAAUUUGCUCUUUUUAAUGUCAGAUCAUUAGCUAACAAAUCCUUGAACUUGGAGCUCAUGUGUCUAAGCAAUAUGACAUCUGCUUUGGGGUUGCACAAGGGAGCUGCCACGUUAAACAAAAACAUAAUUGUUCCACCUUAGAAACAU